AGACCUUUCUUCCACCUGUUUGUGGGUGCACCGGAGAAAAUCCAAGGGAGAAAGAGGAUAUCAGCUCGGCCUUCCACCCUUCAACCAAUUGCUUAUAACGAGGCAAGUACGCAGUAUAUCCUUGAAGCCAACGUGGGGCGUGUAGUUAGCCUACUAGUAGGGCAAUGGAUCUGUCCUAGUGAGGACGUCCACAAGAAGGUGUCUCAACAGACAAGGAGAGUAGUGAGGGGAGAAGGCAAGGCACCAACAGCGCCAGCGUUUGCUGGCGUAAUAUUUAAUACAAAUUGGUGGUGUAAAUAGUCUCUUCGAGUAUCCACCUCCCUCUUGUCAAAGGC
rnacentral:sRNA from 1 species